rnacentral:rRNA from 1 species
UACGUAGGGGGCGAGCGUUGUCCGGAAUUAUUGGGCGUAAAGAGCGUGUAGGCGGUUCGGUAAGUCUGCCGUGAAAACCUGGGGCUCAACCCUGGGCGUGCGGUGGAUACUGCCGGGCUAGAGGGUGGUAGAGGCGAGUGGAAUUCCCGGUGUAGCGGUGAAAUGCGCAGAUAUCGGGAGGAACACCAGUAGCGAAGGCGGCUCGCUGGGCCAUUCCUGACGCUGAGACGCGAAAGCUAGGGGAGCGAACCGG